GUGGGGAAUUUUGGACAAUGGGCGCAAGCCUGAUCCAGCAAUGCCGCGUGCAGGAAGAAGGCCUUCGGGUUGUAAACUGCUUUUGUACGGAACGAAACGGUCCGGGUUAAUACCCUGGGCUAAUGACGGUACCAUAAGAAUAAGCACCGGCUAACUACGUGCCAGCAGCCGCGGUAAUACGUAGGGUGCAAGCGUUAAUCGGAAUUACUGGGCGUAAAGCGUGCGCAGGCGGUUUUGUAAGACAGGCGUGAAAUCCCCGGGCUCAACCUGGGAAUUGCGCUUGUGACUGCAAGGCUGGAGUGCGGCAGAGGGGGAUGGAAUUCCGCGUGUAGCAGUGAAAUGCGUAGAUAUGCGGAGGAACACCGAUGGCGAAGGCAAUCCCCUGGGCCUGCACUGACGCUCAUGCACGAAAGCGUGGGGAGCAAACAGGAUUAGAUACCCUAGUAGUCC
rnacentral:rRNA from 1 species